CUCGCAUCUUUUGAAGCAACUGCAGCAGUUAAUACUACAGUAUCCCCAUAGCGAACCAAUACUGCACCAUUCGCUUGUUUGGCUAAUUGACCGAUCUCAACUUGUAAGGGACGUCCGCCCCAAGUUGUUUUAAACACUUGUUUUUCUGUCAUGUCUUUGUUCUCCUUUGUUCUUCGGAAAAGUCA
rnacentral:ncRNA from 1 species